AGAGUUUGAAUUCUGGCUCAGAUUGAACGCUGGCGGCAGGCUUAACACAUGCAAGUCGAGCGGAGUGAUGGUGCUUGCACUAUCACUUAGCGGCGGACGGGUGAGUAAUGCUUAGGAAUCUGCCUAUUAGUGGGGGACAACAUUUCGAAAGGAAUGCUAAUACCGCAUACGUCCUACGGGAGAAAGCAGGGGAUCUUCGGACCUUGCGCUAAUAGAUGAGCCUAAGUCGGAUUAGCUAGUUGGUGGGGUAAAGGCCUACCAAGGCGACGAUCUGUAGCGGGUCUGAGAGGAUGAUCCGCCACACUGGGACUGAGACACGGCCCAGACUCCUACGGGAGGCAGCAGUGGGGAAUAUUGGACAAUGGGCGCAAGCCUGAUCCAGCCAUGCCGCGUGUGUGAAGAAGGCCUUAUGGUUGUAAAGCACUUUAAGCGAGGAGGAGGCUACUGAAGUUAAUACCUUUAGAUAGUGGACGUUACUCGCAGAAUAAGCACCGGCUAACUCUGUGCCAGCAGCCGCGGUAAUACAGAGGGUGCAAGCGUUAAUCGGAUUUACUGGGCGUAAAGCGCGCGUAGGCGGCUAAUUAAGUCAAAUGUGAAAUCCCCGAGCUUAACUUGGGAAUUGCAUUCGAUACUGGUUAGCUAGAGUGUGGGAGAGGAUGGUAGAAUUCCAGGUGUAGCGGUGAAAUGCGUAGAGAUCUGGAGGAAUACCGAUGGCGAAGGCAGCCAUCUGGCCUAACACUGACGCUGAGGUGCGAAAGCAUGGGGAGCAAACAGGAUUAGAUACCCUGGUAGUCCAUGCCGUAAACGAUGUCUACUAGCCGUUGGGGCCUUUGAGGCUUUAGUGGCGCAGCUAACGCGAUAAGUAGACCGCCUGGGGAGUACGGUCGCAAGACUAAAACUCAAAUGAAUUGACGGGGGCCCGCACAAGCGGUGGAGCAUGUGGUUUAAUUCGAUGCAACGCGAAGAACCUUACCUGGCCUUGACAUAGUAAGAACUUUCCAGAGAUGGAUUGGUGCCUUCGGGAACUUACAUACAGGUGCUGCAUGGCUGUCGUCAGCUCGUGUCGUGAGAUGUUGGGUUAAGUCCCGCAACGAGCGCAACCCUUUUCCUUAUUUGCCAGCGAGUAAUGUCGGGAACUUUAAGGAUACUGCCAGUGACAAACUGGAGGAAGGCGGGGACGACGUCAAGUCAUCAUGGCCCUUACGGCCAGGGCUACACACGUGCUACAAUGGUCGGUACAAAGGGUUGCUACCUAGCGAUAGGAUGCCUAAUCUCAAAAAGCCGAUCGUAGUCCGGAUUGGAGUCUGCAACUCGACUCCAUGAAGUCGGAAUCGCUAGUAAUCGCGGAUCAGAAUGCCGCGGUGAAUACGUUCCCGGGCCUUGUACACACCGCCCGUCACACCAUGGGAGUUUGUUGCACCAGAAGUAGGUAGUCUAACCGCAAGGAGGACGCUUACCACGGUGUGGCCGAUGACUGGGGUGAAGUCGUAACAAGGUAACCGUAA
rnacentral:rRNA from 1 species